GAAACUUCCGGAAGCGGCUGGGGGAGCGGGCUUCCACCUCCCACCCCGGCCCCGCUGCUGCGCGCGUAUCGUACCCCGCCGCUGACACGGGCCGGGCCGAGCCGAGCCGAGCCGGGUGACCCCGCCGCUGACACGGGCCGCUCCGAGCCGGGUGACCCCUCCGCUGACACGGGCCGCGCCGGUGUCCCAGGGUCCUGCAGCGGAGCCGAAGCGGCGUCAUCCCCCGACCCCCGGUUCUACUAACUGGGGACCAAACCUUCAAAAACAUGAGCCUAUGUGGGCCAUUCUCAAUCAGACCACCAUGAAUGGUAAGUCUGGUUGUUUUACCUAUUUAUUGCUACGUCUCAACCUUCAGAUUCUCCUUUCAUUUCUUUUUGU
rnacentral:lncRNA from 1 species